rnacentral:rRNA from 1 species
UACGGAGGGUGCGAGCGUUGUCCGGAUUUAUUGGGUUUAAAGGGUGCGUAGGUGGCUUUUUAAGUCAGUGGUGAAAUACAGCCGCUCAACGGUUGAGGUGCCAUUGAUACUGAAGAGACUUGAAACAAGUGGAGGCUGCCGGAAUGGAUGGUGUAGCGGUGAAAUGCAUAGAUAUCAUCCAGAACACCGAUUGCGAAGGCAGGUGGCUACGUUUGAUUUGACACUGAGGCACGAAAGCAUGGGGAGCAAACAGG